GUGAGGAAUUUUCCGCAAUGGGCGAAAGCCUGACGGAGCAAUGCCGCGUGAAGGAUGAAGGCCUAUGGGUUGUAAACUUCUUUUCUCAGAAAAGAAUUAUGACGGUAUCUGAGGAAUAAGCAUCGGCUAACUCUGUGCCAGCAGCCGCGGUAAGACAGAGGAUGCAAGCGUUAUCCGGAAUGAUUGGGCGUAAAGCGUCUGUAGGUUGUUUAAAAAGUAUUCUGUCAAAGAUUAGGGCUUAACCCUAGAUAGGCAGAAUAAACUUUUAAGCUAGAGUUUGGUAGAGGCAGAGGGAAUUCCCGGUGGAGCGGUGAAAUGCGUAGAUAUCGGGAGGAACACCAAAGGCGAUGGCACUCUGCUGGGCCAAUACUAACACUGAGAGACGAAAGCGAGGGGAGCAAAUGGGAUUAGAUACCCGAGUAGUCC
rnacentral:rRNA from 1 species